rnacentral:rRNA from 1 species
GAUCCUGGCUCAGGACGAACGCUGGCGGCGUGCUUAACACAUGCAAGUCGAACGGACGUAGAAAUACGUUAGUGGCGGACGGGUGAGUAACGCGUGAGCAAUCUGCCUCUAUCAUCGGGAUAACACACGGAAACGAGUGCUAAUACCGAAUAAGACCACAUACCGGCAUCGGAGAGGGGUCAAAGAUUUUAUCGGAUAGAGAUGAGCUCGCGUCCCAUUAGCUAGUUGGUAGGGUAACGGCUU